GAUGAACGCUGGCGGCGUGCCUAAUACAUGCAAGUCGAGCGAACAAACGAGGAGCUUGCGCUUCUGACGGUAGCGGCGGACGGGGGAGUAACACGCGGAUAACCUAUCUAUAAGACUGGGGUAACACCGGGAAACCGGAGCUAAUACCGGAGAAUAUAUUGAACUGCAGGGUUGAAUAGUGAGAGACGGUUUUGCUGCCGCGGAGAGAUGGAUCCGCGCCGCAUUAGCUGGUUGGUAAGGUAACGGCUUACCAGGGCAACGAUGCGUAGCCGACCUGAGGGGGUGGUCGACCACACUGGAACUGCGACGCGGUCCAGCCUCCUACGGGAGGCAGCAGUAGGGAAUCUUCCUCAAUGGGCGGAAGCCUGACGGUGCAACGCCGCGUGAGCGAUGAAGGUCUUCGGAUCGUAAUACUCUUCUAUUAGGGAAGAACAAAUGUGUAAGUAACUGUGCACGUCUUGACGGUACCUAAUCAGAAAGCCCCGGCUAACUACGUG
rnacentral:rRNA from 1 species